GGUAGUCUAUAAGAAAAAAUUAGGAAAACUGAAUCGAGUACUCGCGGAAGUCGUAAUAUCAUAGGGUAGUUUAGUUAAUAGAUACGGCUUCGGGAAGGAAUACAAUUAAAACUGCUAGAGAAAAUAGUUUCUAUAGUUCUAGAUUUGAUUUCCUUUUCUCAGACCUGAUUCUUAUCUCUCGAUCUACUUCCUCUUCUCUAACCUAACUAUUGCGCCUCUCUAUUUCUUCUUCAUCUUCUUCUCUUCUAUUAUGAGCGAAGACAGAUUUUCCCCCAAAAUUAGUUUAUUUAUUUCAUUGAAUUUUUUUUUCAAUCGCAUGAAGUUAAAGAGAAUUGUUGAUUUUUCUUCUUCUUCAGAGUUUAUACGACUGAAUACUACCAAACCCUAACCCUCAAUCACUCAAUCACACACAAUUUUACCUGUUUCAUUACCUUCUCAACCAAAAAUUGUUCAAACUUAGCCGUAUUGCGAACCCUAAUUUUUGUUUACCUUCUGAAAUCUUAUUUUCAUUUUACUUUUCAUCUGCAGAAUUUGAAGAUGUUUAUUAGUAAUUGAUGGUGCCCUGACUCUUACAAGGUGAACUCACUGGUGCAGAUAUUCCUGAAUGAACAAACUAUUGAUGUGGUGUGAAAUGCAGCUUAUUAUCACUUGGAAAUACCUCAUUUUACAAGUAUCCAGUUAGCUUGACAGUUAUAAUUCUAUUGGUCAUGUGCUUAUUUGAGUUCUUAAGAUGCUUAUUAGCAAUUGAUUUUUCCCACCAGUAACAAUGGAAGUAGGAUCAUGUUCCAUUAACAACAUUAACAGUUGCGUCAAUAAAUGAUUUCAUAUUUAACUAUGGCAAAGGAGGUGCUUGUUUUACAUGGAAUGAGAUUCCUUCCUCAUUGGCUUCUGUCGAUGCCUUUCAAAGGUACACCCAUCUUUCCAGCGAUCCCCUUUGCAAAGCUAGCAACAUGUCUUGUACGCGUGUUCGUUGAUAUAUAAACUAUAUGCUUCUCAAGUGACAUGAAUGGCUCUCUUCAUCGGCGCAAUCUCAAUAAUCACUGACUUCUGAAAGGGAUCUGGAAAUGCAAUAGCAAGCUAAUUGACCUAUUAGUUUCUUACAUGAAACCAAGUGCAGAAGCUUCCUAUUUCAAGUGUUGUAGAUUCCUCCUCUUCAAAGACACCACCUGACAAGAACUGGAACUAUAUAUGGAGAAGCAUUAUGGUUACAUGAAAUUUCACUCAUGUUGCCUUCGUAGUUUUUCUAUAAUGAUUUGCUUUUUAGAUUUCUGUAAGUUUCGUAAAUUGUUUUCAGAUUUGGAACUGAUUGUAGUUUGUUAUUGUGAAAUGAAAUCAGUAUGUUAAGUUUCGCAGAUUUAGAACUUGAGUAAUCGUAGUUUGUUGGGGAUGUGUAAUGAAUUUAGCGAAAAUAAGUUUAAUUUUCGGGUUCAAUCGAAUUUUAUUUCAGCUA